rnacentral:rRNA from 1 species
UACGUAGGGAGCAAGCGUUGUCCGGAAUCAUUGGGCGUAAAGCGCGCGUAGGCGGCCCUGUAAGUCCGUUGUGAAAGUCAAAGGCUCAAUCUUUGAAAGCCGAUGGAUACUGCAGGGCUAGAGUCCGGAAGAGGCGAGUGGAAUUCCUGGUGUAGCGGUGGAAUGCGCAGAUAUCAGGAGGAACACCAAUAGCGAAGGCAGCUCGCUGGGACGGUACUGACGCUAAGGCGCGAAAGCGUGGGGAGCGAACAGG